rnacentral:lncRNA from 12 species
GCCCCCCCGGGCCCCCGCCGACCUUGCGCUCUGCUCCCCAGGCCGGCGACUCCGGAGGGCUCGGGGCGGCCCGGGUGUCGGACGCGAGCGGGGCCGCGGCGGCCGGAGCUCCCCGCGCAGGUACGACCCCCCGCCCCCACCCCCGGCGACCCCGGCCCCGGCCCGGAGCACGUGGCCGCCCGCCCCGCCCCGCCCCCGCGGGCCCCGGGCCCCCCCUUUCCUGUGCGCUCCCAAGGCUGCCGCAGUGCCCUGGGAGGCCAACACAGAAGGGGACAGCAAGGCUCCAUGAAACCCAGGGACGAGCCCGCAGAGCUCCUCUUUGGAUCCUGUCUGGAGUCACAGCCCAACCGGAGACGUCUCCUUCCGGCCCAGCACCUGUGGGGUUUUGUCAGGUUGAAAGCUACAGGUAGCAGCCGUGGAAGCUGGAAUAUUCUGAUGCUGGUUAUUUUUACUGACCUACACAACUCUGCGGCCUAAGGUACACACAUGCUUCUGUGGGACCCAAAAAUUCAGGAAAUGUCCCCAACCCCUGGCCCCUAGAAAAGUAACGAUUGCGGUCUCCAGCCCAAGUCUACGAAUACUCGUAGAGCACGCCCUUAACGGAAAGUUCCAUAUCGGAAUUAGGGACUAAGAGCUUGAGAAACUCCCCCAAUCUUACUAGAAAUCCCCUAGACCAGCCCAUAAAAAUCCAGCUGGAACCCACCUCGGGGUCCAAGUCACAGCUGAACCAGAGGAAAAUGUUCUUUGCGUUCCAGCAUCUUUGUGAUUUUGUGACACCGUUCAGAGCACAAAGUGAUGAAAUCAAACUUAAUCGUAGCGUUGGUGGUACCUGCAUUCAGUUACACUGUCCAUAUUCGGGGGCACCUGGGUGGCUCCGUGGUUGAGCAUCUACCUGCCUUUGGCCCAGAUCGUGACCCCCUGGGGUCCUGGAUUCGAGUCCAGCAGGGAGCCUGUUCCUCCCUCUGCCUGUGUCUCAGCCUCUCUCUGUGUCUCUCAUGAAUUAAAUAAAGUGUAGGUAUUUGUCA